AAUGUCAUCUCUUCUAAAAUUUGAAUGAUAAACGACACGCUUUUGUGCGCGCCCCAAAAUUAAUGUCCAACAAAAAAAAAUUAAAAACACGGAGGGCACUUACUUAAAAAUGGGCUUCGUCUAGAAAUGUCGCUUUAUAUUUUUUGAAUGAAAGGCGCUUUCUCUUCUUUUGCAACUGGGGGAAAACGAAAAUCCCAAAAGUUUGAAAGGCCGCCAUUGUUAUCCUCUACAUUAUUUCCAUCGUUCUUUUCUCUCUCUCUCUCUCUCUCUCUCUUUGUCUCUCUCUUAGUCUCUCUCUCUCUCACUCUAAUACACAAAAAAAACCCUAAUAUCAUCAUCAAUCCUCUUUUCUCCCACAACAAAAUCGCAAUAUCACCAAAUCUCUGAUCCCGUCUUUUGAACACAUCAGGAGCUUCAAUCACUAGCUCCUGAUGUGGGUUUCAAUACUUCCAUCUCAACUUUCUCUUCCAUCUACAAUAUUUCUUUCCGGCGAUGAAGGUUUCUCAUGAUUUUUUGUUGUACUUACAAGCCCUAGGUCUUGAUGCGUGAUGUGUGCUUAUCUUGCACCUGAUGCAUCCCCUCUCCCAGUACUGAUCAAGCUUCGGAAUGAUUGUUAUCCCUCCACCUUCCCCUGUGAAUACGCUCCCACCUCCCAUAAUGUAAAACUCCUAAAACUGCCUCCACGAUUGAUUGAAGUUUUUGUCUGUUAGUCUUGAACCGAAAUCAGUUCUAUGAUUGAUUGAAGUUUUUGGAGAAAUCUCGGCAGUGAAUUUCGUUGAAUUCUAGUUCUCAAAUAUGAAGAUUUUAGCUUCGAAUCUUAUUGAAAUGAGCUGAAUCAUUAAUUGAAAAUUUCUAGUGAAGUAUCACUACUAGAAAAUCGGAAAUACGAUACACAAGAUAGAGUACGGUUGUGUAUUUUGACCGUACUCUAAUACAAUUUUAUAUUUUUGUUUUUUUGUCCGCCUAUUUUUUUAAAUGAUUGUCAAAUAUGUUCUAUUUUUUACCUCCAGAGCACUCAUAUUUUCAUUUGCACGACUUCACCACUUCUCUUAGCAUUCACUCAUCAUCUCGUCACCAUGACCAUGAGACUAUCAUCAUCUUCGAGCCAAUGACUCCUCCUAUUCCCUUGCUAGUUUUUUCAAGAAGGCUGAGGUGACAAUUUCAAGUGCAAUUAGCAAAGAUUGAUUCUAGAAUGCCGAAAUAUUGGUUAAUUGACAAUGACUCAUCUAUGUUGAAGCUACCUGGUAUGAAACAUUGUGUUUUGAUGAUUUUUCAAGGUAAUUUUGCAAAUAUACGACUGUUUAGUAGUUUACUAUUCCCAAAUCCUUGCAUUGUUGUGCAACUUUACAUUUAAAGGUGAUUCUGUUUUAGCAUCCAUGUAUCUUGAAAAUGAAUGCUUUAUGUUGUUUAUCAUACUAAAAAAGUAGUAUGAUACUUACACAUCCAUAAUCUUUUCAUUUUGUAUAUGAAUUUAGCCUUUAGCAUAUAUCAUUUUGAGAUCACUGCUAGCAUGCUUAUAUUUGGUGUUAUAUCUUGUAUGACAUCUUCAGGGGAAGUUUGUCAACAUUAGUUUUGCCUAUAUAUGCAACUAUUAUGAAUAUAAAGUAUUGUUUUGAGAUGUAUGUGUUCAAUAUUCACAUUUUAUUUAUAUCCACAUGAUUGUUUUAUUAUUAUUAUUAUUAUUAUUUUUUAAUAUUGUGGACUCACAUGCUUAACAGAAUCAAAGUCAUAGUUAACACAAUAUAGGCCAUUCCCUAACAUCAGCAACAAGUUAGUGUCAUUAUUCCACCAUGUAUGACAUCUUUUGUUAUUGUUGCUUGUUUGUUCCUUACCUAAAACCUUGCACAACAGGCUACUGUUACCAGUUAUACCCUCCAUGUAAAUUUGAUCUUUGAGCAUGACUAUUCAUAUGGUUUUUUCCCACUUCUUUGUAUAUAUGUAUAAACUUAGUAUCUUACUAAAUGUGUUUGGUUUAAUGUUACUCUAAUAGCCUUUCCUGAAAAUUCCUAUUACUUUUUAGAAGGUUGGAGGUAACCAUGCUCAGAGUGUUGGGUUUUCUACUAAUGGAUUUACCACCACAGCCACUAUGAGGAAAUUGCAUCUCAUAUGGGUUUUCUGCAAAUGCAUAUUGAAGUAUACAUAUACCGUGUUUGGAGUAAUGUGAUUGGCAUGAUAUGAACAAACAUGCUAGCAAUGUUACCUACAUUGGUUAGAUGGGCUCUUGAGGUUAGUAAUUUUGUAUCAACUUGAAACAACAUUUGCAAUUUGUUCAUAUUUUGGUGAAUCUUGAUGCGUUCUUUUUCUUUUUCUUUUUCUUUCAAAAGAGCAUUCCACCGGAAAUCAUUGACACCCAUGAACUGGAAUGACAUAGCUGAUUCACUUUAUAUUUUUAUUUCCUCAUUAAUGCAAUGGAUGCGUCAUUAACAAUGUAAUUUUGUUGGUUUGUUUAAUGUUGAUGGAGUGCGGUUAAUAUUGUGGAAAAGAGGAUUGGAAUAUAGUACGGUUAAUAAUGUGUAUUAUAUGUGGAAUAAAGUGUGUAUUAUAUGUGGAAGUAUUAUAGAGAUAGAGUACGGUGUUUAACCGUACUCUAUUUUUGCCCUAAUCUAAUACACCCCCAUAUAAUACGGGAUGCUAUCCCGUACUCUAUUUUGGUAAACAACCGUAUUCUAUUUAUGUUUUUCUAGUAUGGAUCUAAAUAAGAAGCGAAUCAAAACCUUGAAGGGGAAACCGAGGUUUUCAGAUUUCAAUUUAGUACCGAAUGAUUGGGGAGCUGAUGUCCAUCCAUGGUUGAGUGUUCUCGCCAAAGCGUAUCCAUUCCUGGAGGAGCUGCGACUGAAGAGAAUGACAGUUUGGUACUCAUUGCAGAUAUUUGAGUUGAGUUCAACAGAAGGGCUAGAAGUUGGUCUUUAUCUAUUCAGAAGAGUACCUCAUUCCAGAAUUCUUGUAUGUGGAGGAGAUGGGAUAGCGGGGUGGGUAUUGGAUGCAAUUGAGAAGCAAAGUUACGUUUCACCCCCUCCUAUAGCCUUUCUACCUGCUGGAACUGGGAAUGAUGUGGCUAGGGUUUUGAAUUGGGGUGGUGGUUUAGGGUCUGUAGAGAAACAAGGAGGACUUUGCAUGAUGCUGCAACACAUGGAGCAUGCUUCAGUUACUGUUCUUGAUAGGUGGAAGAUUUCUAUUGCUAAUCAUAGGGGUCGACCAAUAUGCAUAAUUGCUUUCAUUUGUACGCGUAGUGGCUUUCAUUUAUUGUCUUGUUGCAUUUAUUCAUCAGGUUAUUGUGAAAACUGUUCCUGUAAAACGUGGUCACAAGCUGAGAAUUACAUGGCCAAUGACACCUGGCAUUGAUCAUUACAUGGAAGGGCCAAGUAGGUAUCUUGGACAUUUAAUUGGUCAUGAAGGAGAAGGAUCCCUCUUCUAUGUCUUGAAGAAAUUGGGUUGGGCAACAAGCUUGUCUGCUGGUGAAUCAGACUGGAUUGUGGAGUUCUCUUUCUUUAAAGUGGUUAUUGAAUUAAUUGAUGUUGGACAUGCAAAUUGAUUAUCAGGACAAGAUUCUUCUAAUUGAUUAUGCUGUGAAAUUUUCAUCAAAUAUUUAUACCCUUCAAAAGAUUAGCUAGUUGGAUCAUCUUUACCUUCCACUUUUUUCCCCUGAAGUUAUUCAGUCUGCACUAAGUGAGAUCACACCAAACAAUGUAAGAAACAUUUGGGAGUCAACAAACUUUGAUGGACAUACUGAGCUAACAGAGCCAUGGUAUGGAACUGCAUUUUCUAUUGAAAAAAUCACUGGCUCCACCAUUUAGGUAUAAAGUUGUGAAAGCAAGAAGUGGGGUAGGCCAUACUGUUUUUCUAAUUGAAGAUGGCCUUUCUUUCUCUUUUGGUUGGAACAAGCAUGGGCAACUUGGAACAGAGUCAACCAAAAAUGAGUGUCAAUUAUCUCCAGUACGUUGUCUUAUAACGGAUGAAAAAGAUGUUUCAUGUGGGGCUACAAAAGGUGUUAGUGUUAGUGAUGAAAGCUUGGUUCAGAUUCAAAAAGUGUUGUAGAGCUAACAAAUGGUUCUUCAGAGGAUACUAAAGAGCAAAUCUUGCAAAGGAUAUUUUUUUGUUUUGUUUUGCAGAGGAUACCCCUCACAUUUUCCCAAAUUACCCCUUCCUCUACAAUGUUUUUUUGUUUCUGUGUAUUUUGUGCAUCAGGUAAAGUUGGUGGAAGAAAGGAAUAUGAAGCCACUUGAUUCAAAUCUUGCAGCAUUAUCAGCAAGAUGUAGUAAAGACUUGGAGUUGAAUUUGGCUAAGUCAUUAUUGAGUGAGAUGGGCCAAUGUACAACUUUUUAUCCAUAUAACAGCUGUUUGGAGCAUUAGUCUUAAAGAAUUAUGAAAGGCAAGAUGCAACUUUACUUAGUUGGAAUUUGAUGUAGAGAGUAGAUUAGAUGCAAAUUUAGAUAUUGUAAAAAAUAGAAUUAUAUGACA